rnacentral:tRNA from 1 species
AGCAAUGUGGCUUAGUGGAAAGAGCACGGGCUUGGGAGCCAGAGGACCUGGGUUCUAAUCCCGGCUCUGCCG